UAGGGAAUCUUCGGCAAUGGGGGGAACCCUGACCGAGCAACGCCGCGUGAGUGAAGAAGGUUUUCGGAUCGUAAAGCUCUGUUGUUAAGGAAGAACGAGUGUGAGAAUGGAAAGUUCAUGCUGUGACGGUACUUAACCAGAAAGGGACGGCUAACUACGUGCCAGCAGCCGCGGUAAUACGUAGGUCCCGAGCGUUGUCCGGAUUUAUUGGGCGUAAAGCGAGCGCAGGCGGUUAGAAAAGUCUGAAGUGAAAGGCAGUGGCUCAACCAUUGUAGGCUUUGGAAACUGUUUAACUUGAGUGCAGAAGGGGAGAGUGGAAUUCCAUGUGUAGCGGUGAAAUGCGUAGAUAUAUGGAGGAACACCGGUGGCGAAAGCGGCUCUCUGGUCUGUAACUGACGCUGAGGCUCGAAAGCGUGGGGAGCGAACGGG
rnacentral:rRNA from 2 species